GAAAAAAUAUUUCUAAUCAAAAUGAAAAAACACAAAACCCAAAAGCAAGAUGAGGUGAUGGUGGAGUUCAUGAGAAGUAAUCCGGAGGAUUUGUUAAAGGUGACCGAACUGCAGCUGAGGCGAAGUGGUCGCAGCUGACUAAUGACUUAAAUGCUAUUGGCCCUCCUUGCAAGGACGUUAACGGCUGGAAAAAGGUUUGGUCGGAUUGGAAAAUAACCAUAAGGAGGAAACUUGCGAAAAAUAAGCAGGAAACCAAAGCUACCGGCGGCGGCCCAUACGCCCAGCUUGUCGUCCUUCC